UCCUAAAGUGCUGGGAUUACAGGCGUGAGUCACCGCGCCCGGCCAGUCGAACUCUUUCUUCUGAGGAGGCAAGGAUUGAGAUUGCUGCAGAACAUAGGCAUUGGCCGUCAGUAAUAUACCGUGUGACUCAGAACCUCCCCCGCUUCUCCCUGCAUCAAGAGCUGGGGAGACGGCAGCGUGGGACUCGUGGGUAAUCCCCUGCAGCGGCCUGCCACUCCUCCCCCACUGCCUGGUCUGGGUGGGGCACAAGACUCAGGCCUAAGCCAAUCAGAGCCUUCCCUGGCUGCAGCAAUGGGUCUAAGGGCCCUCCCUCUGUGACCCUGGCCUUGGCCACCAGGCUUGCUUUGGCCAAUGAGAUGUGAGCAUACAGGACGCCAGUCAAAGCAUGAAAACUGCUUGCAAUAGCGCUUGUGUGUGCACCUGGACCUAUGUUGUAAGAAUGUGCCCCGUUUGGCCAUUGGAAGGACUUGGGACACCUGGGGGAGAACAGAGUCACCCCAGCUGCCAGCCAGCUCAGCCAGGACAUGUAAGUGACCCCCUCAAAAGACCAAUAGAACCACCCAGCUGACCCACUGACUCCUGGGCAGUAACUUUCAGUGACUGGGCUUAGGUGGUGUGUUACACAGCAGUGUGGC